rnacentral:rRNA from 1 species
AAUAGCCGCAGUAUUUUGACUGUGCAAAGGUAGCAUAAUCACUAGUUUCUUAAUUAGAAACUUGUAUGAAUGGUUGGAUGAGAAAUGAUCUGUCUCUAUAUAAUUUAAUUAGAAUUUUAUUUUUAAGUUAAAAAGCUUAAAUUUUUGUUAAAGACGAGAAGACCCUAUAGAGUUUAAUUUAUUUAGAAUAUUUAAUUUAUUAAGAAUUCAUGAUUUAAAUAAUAAAAUAAAUUUUGUUGGGGUGACAGGAAAAAUAAAUAAACUUUUCUUUUUAUUAACAUUGAUUUAUGAUUAGUUGAUCCAAUAUUUUUGAUUAAAAGAUUAAAUUACCUUAGGGAUAACAGCGUAAUUUUUUUUAAGAGUUCUUAUCGAAAAAAAAGUUUGCGACCUCGAUGUUGGAUUAAAAUUAAGAUUGGCGCAGCAGUUGAUCUUUUAAGUCUGUUCGACUUUUAAAAUUUUACAUGAUCUGAGUUUAAACCGGUGUGAGCCAGGUUGGUUUCUAUCUUGAUUUAAUUAAAAUAUUUUAGUACGAAAGGACCAAUUAUUUAUAUAAAAUAUUAGUUUUUGGAUUAUGAUAAAGUUACUUUGGCAGAUUAGUGCAUUAAAUUUAGAAUUUAAAUAUGUAUAAUUAUACAAGUAAUACUUGAUUAUAUUUGAUUUUCUUUUAUUAUUAGUUAGAGGAUUAAUUUUAGUAGUAUGUGUUUUAGUAGG